GUACGUAGUGUCCAAGCCGGCUAUGCUACACCACCGCCAAUAAUUCCGCUAUUUCGGGCCGUCUAAUUUGGGCCCGGUGACUCUACGCUUUUAACGGCGGCGUUGAUAGUGAAGCAUCAUCCAGCGCUGUCGGCCACCACCACCGUCGCCAGCAAUAACCACCGGAACGACGAGAGUUCGGUGGUGGCGAGACGGCCGCUCGCUGCAGUCUCCCGAGGGCUUGGACCUCCUACUGCCACCCGACGCUGGUCCUCCGAUCCUUAAAGGCGUCCAGUCGAGGCGGCGUGCUGAAAUGUCGGGAAUAGAAGGUGAGGGCCCCUUUACGAGCUCUGUCACGACCAUGUUGCUUGAGUAUCAUCGUAGAUAGAUAAACGAGUGUCAGUGGAGGAAGUCACGGAAACGAGCGUAAUUCAGCGUAUGCGCGCAAAAAUAUUCGCAGGACGCGUCGGAACAGGAUGACACCAUUCAAGAUGAGACCACGGAAACAGCCGAAGUCAGCCAUGAGGUAGUGGGCACGAUAGAGAAAUCGAACAGCU
rnacentral:misc_RNA from 1 species